GGAUGUGUAGUUUAGGGUAGAGUGUUUGCCUAUCAUGCAAACAGCCCUGGGUUAGAUCUCCAGCACCA
rnacentral:tRNA from 1 species